AGCUCUGUAAUGUAGUGGUAGCCUUCCUGACUCUAGCUUCUGGCUGGUAAGGCGAGGGUGUUGGUUCGAAUCCAGCCAGGGUCA